rnacentral:rRNA from 1 species
AAUGAACGUUGGCGGCGUGCCUAACACAUGCAAGUUGAGCGUGAAAGCUCCUUCGGGAGUGAGUAGAGCAGCGGACUGGUGAGUAACGCGUGAGAACCUGCCCUGCAGUGAAGAAUAACACCGAGAAAUUGGUGCUAAUGCUGCAUAAGUCCCUACGGGGAAAAGGUAGCUUUAUGCUGCCGCUGGGGGAUGGGCUUGCGUACUAUUAGCUUGUUGGUGGGGUAAAGGCCUACCAAGGCGAUGAUGGUUAACCGGCCUGAGAGGGUGUACGGUCACAUUGGAACUGAGAUACGGUCCAGACUCCUACGGGAGGCAGCAGUGAGGAAUAUUGCGCAAUGGACGAAAGUCUGACGCAGCGACGCCGCGUGAAGGAUGAAGGUCUUCGGAUUGUAAACUUCUGUUAAGUGGGAAGAAAUCCCGGGUAACCGGGGAUGACGGUACCACUAGAGAAAGCACCGGCUAACUUCGUGCCAGCAGCCGCGGUAAGACGAGGGGUGCAAACGUUAUUCGGAAUUACUGGGUGUAUAGGGUGCGUAGACGGUGAAUCAAGCUCACUGUUAAAUCCUCCGGCCUAACCGGAGAUAUGCAGAGGGAACUGAUUCGCUAGAGGAUGGAAGAGAGAAGUGGAAUUCCCGGAGUAGCGGUGGAAUGCGUAGAUCUCGGGAGGAACACCAAUGGCGUAGGCAGCUUCUUGGUCCAUUCCUGACGUUGAGGCACGAAAGCGUGGGGAGCAAACAGGAUUAGAUACCCUGGUAGUCCACGCUGUAAACGAUGGUCACUGGACGUUGGGCCGGCUUUGCUGGUUCAGUGUCGUAGCUAACGCGUUAAGUGAUCCACCUGGGGAGUACGGCCGCAAGGUUAAAACUCAAAGGAAUUGACGGGGGUCCGCACAAGCGGUGGAACAUGUGGUUUAAUUCGACACUACGCGAGGAACCUUACCUGGGCUUGACAUGUAUCUGACACCUGUAGAAAUACAGUCUUUUGGGCUUCGGCCCAGACAGAUACACAGGUGCUGCAUGGCUGUCGUCAGCUCGUGUCGUGAGAUGUUGGGUUAAGUCCUUUAACGAGCGCAACCCUUGCUGUCAGUUGCUAAUUACCUUCGGGUAAAGCACUCUGGCGGGACUGCCUGGGAAACCAGGAGGAAGGUGGGGACGACGUCAAGUCAUCAUGGUCCUUAUGUCCAGGGCUACACACGUGUUACAAUGGUUGGUACAAUGGGCUGCGAUUCCGCAAGGAGGAGCUAAUCCCACAAAGCCAAUCUAAGUUCGGAUUGAGGUCUGCAACUCGACCUCAUGAAGUUGAAAUCGCUAGUAAUCGCGUAUCAGCAACGACGCGGUGAAUACGUUCUCGGACCUUGUACACACCGCCCGUCACACCACGAAAGUUGUCUGUACCCGAAAUCGCUUUAACCAACCCGUAAGGGGGGUGGGCGCUUAAGGUGUGGGCAAUGAUUGGGGUG